rnacentral:tRNA from 1 species
GAUCAAGUAUUAUUGGGAUUUGCUCAGGGGUAGAGCAGUGGAUUGAAAAUCCUCGUGUCGGUGGUUCGAUUCCGCCCCUGGGCACCA